CUCCCCAUUCUAGAAUAAGCUGAAAUCUUCUUUAGAUUCUCUCACAGAGAAGAAAUCGGCGGUUCUCCAAGCUGAACUUCCACUGUAAUCCAGUUGCAGUUCCAUGUGGACAGUGUACGGGUGUAUUUGGUACAGUGGGAGAAUGAGAGUCACUGUGUCCGUGAGCGGGACUGAUGGAGGAAGCUUGUCGCAAGAGAAGGAUUAGUGAUGAGGUGAAGACACUCUCAGCUGCUGAUGGCUCUCUGUCUCUCGGACAGUUCACUGGCCCUUUACAGUACACAGUCUGGAGAGAAAUGAUACACACCAUUCACCCAGGUAAACAUGUAUAUUCAUUUUCCUGAUGAUAAAUC